AUUGAACGCUGGCGGCAGGCUUAACACAUGCAAGUCGAGCGAGCGGCGGACGGGUGAGUAAUGUCUGGGAAACUGCCUGAUGGAGGGGGAUAACUACUGUAAACGGUAGCUAAUACCGCAUACCAUCAGAUGUGCCCAGAUGGGCUUGGCUAGUAGGUGGGGUAAAGGAUCACCUCGGUGACGUUCCCUAGCUGGUCUGAGAGGAUGACCAGCCACACUGGAACUGAGACACGGUCCAGACUCCUACGGGAGGCUGCAGUGGGGAAUAUUGCACAAUGGGCGCAAGCCGGAGGCAGCCAUGCCGCGUGUGUGAAGAAGGCCGUCGGGUUGUAAAGCACUGUCAGCGAGGAGGCGUUACUCUCAGAAGAAGCACCGGCUAACUCCGUGCCAGCAGCCGCGGUAAUUC
rnacentral:rRNA from 1 species